UCAAUAUUCAUAUAAGUUUUUGAUAGUCGCAAAACUAAAAUAGACGUUAGGCGCGACUUUCUCCCUCCCGCCUUCUUUCAACGGUGCCCACAAUUCAACAAUGGCAACAACAACACUGCGUCUUCGACUAUGGACCUCCAAGCUAAAUUCCCUCUUCCCGCAACCAAAGCUCACCAUUUUACCCUUCAGAAAAACCCUGUACAAGCCGUUUUCUUCUCGUUCUCUCUCCUCCACCGCCCACCUUCCGAAGAGCGUAGGAACACACAACGGCAGCUUUCACUGCGACGAAGCUCUCGGCUGCUUUCUCCUUCGUCACACCUCCAAAUUCGCCGAUUCUCAGCUUAUUCGAACUCGAGACCUUCAGGUGUUGGAGUCGCUGGAUGCUGUUAUAGAUGUUGGAGGAUUUUAUGAUCCGUGCCGAGAUCGAUAUGAUCAUCAUCAGAAGGGUUUUGAUGAGGUUUUUGGUCAUGGGUUUGGGACUAAACUUAGUAGUGCUGGGCUUGUAUACAAGCAUUAUGGAAAAGAGAUAAUUGCUAAGGAGCUUCAGCUUGAUCAGGAGCAUCCAGAUGUGCAUAAGUUGUUUCUAGCUGUCUACAAGAAUUUUGUCGAGGCGGUUGAUGCUGUAGACAAUGGGGUCAAUCAAUACAGUGCAGACCUAUCACCAAAAUAUGUCAUUAACACAUACUUGUCAUCUAGAGUUGGAAGAUUGAAUCUUGGCUGGACAGAUCCUGAUCAGUCAGCUGAGCGUGAAAAUGAGGCCUUCCAGAAGGCAAUGGCAUUGGCUGGGAAUGAGUUUUUGGAGAGCAUUCAUUUUCAUGCACAAUCAUGGCUACCGGCUAGAUCAAUUGUAGUAGAGUGUCUUCAAGCAAGGCAAGAUAUCGACUCCAGUGGUGAAAUCAUGGUGCUGAAGAAGUCUUGCCCUUGGAAACUUCACAUCUUUGAGCUUGAGGAGGAAAUGAAGGUUGAACCUUCUAUCAAAUACGUUAUCUAUGAGGAUGAUAGACGAACUUCUUGGCGAGUGCAGGCAGUGGCUGUUGGACCAGAUAGAUUUGAAAGCCGAAAACCCUUGCCACAACAUUGGAGGGGUUUGGAGGGAAAAGAGCUAUCAGAGAUAGCAGGGAUCCCUGGCUGUGUAUUUGCACACAUGAGUGGUUUUAUUGGUGGAAAUCAGACUUAUCAGGGUGCUCUUAAAAUGGCAAGAGCUUCCUUGAAAGUAUAAAAGAGGGGGUAACUACUGCAAUACUAUACAUAUUUGUUAUGUUUCCUAUAUUGGGAAGAGAUAAUGCAACUUAGAGCUUAAGGAUGUCCAGAGGUAUGCAGUCAGUUUCUGUAUGCACGAUUACUUCAUCCUAAGUUUCCUGUGGAUUCCAUCAAUCAGCAGAGUUUAUAUUUCAAUUCUACAACGAAUGUGAGACAGAUGGAAGCCGUUCCACUUUCCAGCCUUCAAGAUUGGUUCUGGAUUCUGAAAUGCAUAUUGGUCAAAGUAUACACUGUUUGGAAGAGUGUUUAAUCUGAGAUAUCCAGAGGAAGGUGAAAAGAAAGCCGUAAGGAAAGUGGCAUACCCUAUUCUGUAGCAGAGCUUCACGCUUUACCUUCCACUCUUCUUCAGCUAAUCUCUCCAACAAUAGAAAGUCAUCAGAAAGUCAGAACAAGGCAUUGAUACAAGAUCAUAUAAAAUCCCUGCAAUCAAGUAAGUCCUUAACUCCUUACGGCCCCUUUGGUAGCCGGCCAUAAAUGGUGUAAAUGGGAAUGAAUUUGUAUGUAAAUUUGUAUGGAAAAUUAAUAUUCAUUCCCAUGGUAAUGGUAGUUCACUCAAAAUCAUAUCCUUUUUUUAUAUAAAUUUCCAUUACCAUCCGUUAUCAUUUGGGGAGUAGUAAUGGAUGGUAAUGCAAAUUUAUGAAGAAAAACACCGAGUAUGAGAUACAAUUCAUUACCAUGGACACCAUGAUGUUUUUUUCAACACUUUGAUUUAUUCCCAUUCCCACCGUUUAUUACCGGCUACCAAACGGGACGCUAAUCCCCGAAUUUAUCAUUAUGAAGAACAUAGACCCAAAAUACCUGGAGAUUUAGCUUGUUUAGUUGCUGCAUUUCGGAUGCUUAAUCCCACUGGUGAGCCGCGAUAGUGUAAACUACCUGCAGGAGUUCUUCCUAAGCUGACCAUCAGAGAAGAUGACUGACUAGAUUUUGAGGAGUAAAUAUGGGUUGAUUCAUGAAAUUUUUGGUACAAUGACGACGAAAUUGACUGGUGUUGAGUAAUUGAAGUGAAAGUGGCCAUUUUGUUUAAAUCCAAUGCUUCAAAUUUAGAACACUAUGGU